rnacentral:lncRNA from 1 species
AGAAUGAUUUCAUGAUUAUUUUACUAUUAAAAAUUAUUUUUGGAUUAUAAAUUUUAUAAAAUUAUCUAGUAUCUUAUUUAUACAUGAUUUAAAAAAAAAUAUGAUUUAAGAAUACUUAUCUUAAGAAAUAUGGCAAAAGACUCUUAGAUAGCUAUAUAUAGCUUUGCUAGUGGAUAAUAGUAAUUGGUAUAUGAUCUUGCCAGUGGAUAAUAGUAAUUGGCAUAUGACCCUGCUAGUAGAUAAUAGUAAUUGACACACGAUCCUGCCAAUAGAUAAUAAUAGUUGGUAUACGAUCUUGCCAACGGAUAAUAGUAGCUGGUAUAUGAUUAUGAUCUUAUCACGAGUAUAAUAGUGAUUAGCAUUUAGUUUAAGCUAAUUAUUAAGAAGCAUGAUAUGACAAAAAGAUAAAUGAUUUAUAAUUUUAUUAAUAAAGUUAACAUGAUUUAUAAAUUUAUAAUUGAUGGUAAAAUGACAUUAGAAACUAUAUUUAUCAAAAUUGCAUGAUUUAUGCAUGUGCAAGAAUAUAAUUAUGGAAGUUUUAUAUUCCAAUGAUCAUCAUCUGCUUUAAGUGAUUUAUUGAUGCACGUAUAAACUUAUGUUUGAUCUGGAUAAGAUAGUAUAAGGUUUACUUAUUGAGCUGGUGUAGCUCAUAUUCUUUUUUUUUUCUAUGUAGACAAAUAAGGUUAGGAAGGAAGGA